GCCCUGGUGGUGAAAUUGGUAGACACGCAGGACUUAAAAUCCUGUGGCCAGCAAUGGCCGUGCCGGAUCGUCCCCGGCCCGGGGUA
rnacentral:tRNA from 1 species